UCUAAACGACUCUCGGCAACGGAUAUCUCGGCUCUCGCAUCGAUGAAGAACGUAGCGAAAUGCGAUACUUGGUGUGAAUUGCAGAAUCUCGUGAACCAUCGAGUCUUUGAACGCAAGUUGCGCCCGAAGCCAUUAGGUUGAGGGCACGUCUGCCUGGGCGUCUC
rnacentral:rRNA from 1 species